GAUGAACGCUGGCGGUAUGCUUAACACAUGCAAGUCGAACGGACUCUUCGGAGUUAGUGGCGGACGGGUGAGUAACGCGUGAGAAUCUGGCUUUGGGUUCGGGACAACCACUGGAAACGGUGGCUAAUACCGGAUGUGCCGAGAGGUAAAAGAGAAAUUGCCUGAAGAUGAGCUCGCGUCUGAUUAGCUAGUUGGUGAGGUAAAGGCUCACCAAGGCAGCGAUCAGUAGCUGGUCUGAGGGGAUGACCAGCCACACUGGGACUGAGACACGGCCCAGACUCCUACGGGAGGCAGCAGUGGGGAAUUUUCCGCAAUGGGCGAAAGCCUGACGGAGCAGUACCGCGUGAGGGAAGAAGGCUCUUGGGUUGUAAACCUCUUUUCUUAGGGAAGAACAAAAUGACGGUACCUAAGGAAUCAGCAUCGGCUAACUCCGUG
rnacentral:rRNA from 1 species